AAUAGCAGUGAAUAGCCUUCCAGUCUCAAAGCCUGGCCGUUUUCUGGAGUAGCUGGAGCUUAUUGUUGUAUGAAUGUAGAGGCAUGGAUGAGGGGUUGUGCUGCCAAGUUUAGUGUUUCUGGGAUGUGUAGUUUUGUUAUUUUGUCCUAGGCCGAAAUUUCAUUACCCUUUUAUAUAUAUAUAGACUAGCUGUGCCCGGCCACGCGUUGCUGUGGCGAAGUCUGGUGGUAUGGGAAAUAAGGUAUUGAGGAAUUGGUGGUAGUUAAGGUAAAGGGUCAAGGUUUUCCCCUGACAUUAAGUCCAGUUGUGUCCGACUGCACACUGAAAUGGAUUAUAUGGCAGUGUGGAGUCAAGAUAAUCCAGUUCAAAGCAGAUAAUAUAAGAUUAUAAAUGGGUUAUAUAGCUGUGUGGAAGGGCCUUGAAUCUACACUGCCAUAUAAUCCAGUUCAAAUCUGAUAAUCUGUAUUUUAUAGGCAGUGUGGAAGAGGCCUAAGUGAGGCCUAACUCUGCCUGUCCCCUGGGCUGAGUUGGUUGCUAGGAGGCCAAGUGAGCGGAGCUUAGCCUUCUAACUGGCAGCAAUUGGAUAAAAACAAUUACUCCUCUCCCUCUAAUGAGGACUUUAUUUUUCUUUUCUUUUUGUUGUAUGAACGUAGAGGCAUGGAUGAGGGGUUGUGCUGCCAAGUUUAGUGUUUCUGGAAUGUGUCGUUUUGUUGUUUUGUCCUAGGCCGAAAUUUCAUUACCCUUUUAUAUAUAUAGAUAUAUACUGCUUUUGCUCAAUAAAACUACAAAAGACUAUCUUCUGUGUGUGGCUUGGUGUCAGUAGCAAGGUGAACUAUCUUGAGGUGCGACAUCAAUUUUGGGAAAAGAAAUUCCACCUAAAUAUUAGAAAUGACUUCUUGAUUUUAAAAGCUGUUCAACAGGGGAAUGUGCUUCUGCCAGACAGUCAGGUAGAGUCUCCUUCUCUAGAUGUUUUAAAACUAGAUGGUCAUCUGUCGGGAGGGCUUUGAUUAUGUCUUUCUGCCUAGUAGAAGUGGGUUGGAAUAGACAGCCUUUUGGGUGCCUUCCAACUCUAGGAUUUGAUUAUUCUUUCAAUUGUGAUAUGUUUCCCUUUGCUGUUGCGACGGAAUAGGCUGCCCUGUAAAAGUCCAGAGAUGGAUUGAGAUCUUCCCCUUGGCCAAAGGCUGCAUAAAACUGGUUGUGUCUGGUCUGCAAGAGACUUGCAAUUGCAGGCUGUGGGCACCAAGGGGCACGAUGUUGCUGUCCUUGGAUUUUCUUGCAAGGCAAGAGGGGGUUGGGUUGCUACGAGAGUGAAUAUUUUGCAAGGCUGUGCAAAAAAGAAACAAAAUCGCAGACUCGAGAAUGAGCUUAUGAGCAAGGAGUUGUUAUCCAAAAAGAAGGGAUGCACGGGAUGGCAUUUGGCUUCCUUUCAAGCACAGAUUACAGGAGAGGGUCCUUCCUAUUGCUUAUUCUCUCUGGCCACUACAGCAACCGGAACUCUCUUUGUCUCAUCACCUCAAACCAUUUCAAUUGCAGAGCACUUGAUGAACCAACCUGGACAUAGAAUAUUAUUGGAGAACACAGAAAUGCUGGACCACUCUUAACAGUCACCAUGUCAGACGACACAGAAAAGCCAUUGAAAUCUGCAAGAAGCAUGUGGAAAAUUUCAACAGAAAGGAAGAAACCAUGAAAAUGAACAAAAUCUGGCUAUCAGUAUUUUUAAAAACUCUAAAAUCAGGACAGUAAAAUAAAGAGCAACACUCAAAAAACGGGAAUUCCAGACAGAAAACAAUAAGGGGCAACUAAUCACCUCCCAGCAAAGGAUUCCCACAGGCAGGAAGCAGCCAGGUUUUGAAACUGCAAGGCAAUUCAAUGCUAAUCAAAGUGGCUGAUUGCAGCAUUCACACUUGCCUCAAACAGGCAAGAGUUCUUCCUCCCACCUUGGACAUCAUUCCACAGAUACAUAGACCCCACUUGCCUAGUUUCCAACAGACCUCAGCUCCUGACGUUUUGCCCAUAGAUGUGGGCGAAACGUCAGGAAAGAAUGCUUCUGGAACAUGGCCAUACAGCCCGGAAAACUCACAGCAACUCACCUUCUUUCCUGUUUAAUGGUGUGGUAUUUACUUUGAAAGUACUUUUCCUACUCCAGAGACGUUUUUGUACCACUAAGUAUGUUGAAUUCAUUGCGACUAUGAGAUAUCCAUUGAAAAACUAGAGCAAACUGUGCUGCAGGAUAUUCCUCCCGCAAAAACAAAGUUCUGACAGUUUAAUAAACUUUUCCCGUGUUUUAUGAUAGAUAAGGAGCCAUGGUGGUGCAAUGGGUUAAACCCUUGUGCCAGCUGAACUGCUGACCUAAAGGUUGCUGGUUCAAAUCCACGAAAUGGGGUGAGCUCCCGUCUGUCAGCUCUAGCUUGCGGGGACAUGAGAGAAGCCUCCCAGCAGGAUGGUAACACAUCCGGGCGUUCCCUGGGCAACGUCUCUGUAGAAAGCCAAUUCUCUCACACUAGAAGCGACUUUCAGUAUGUCCUCAAGUUGCUUCUGACACGAUAAAAAAUAUGAUAGAAAAAAUUAGGGAAUGACAUGUAUAACCCAGGAACAAAAAUCUUGUAUUUUGUAAGAAUCUCUACAUCUUCCAAGGUGACUUCUGCCAGAAGUUGACCAUAGGGUUGUGCUGGCAGGCCUAGAGAUUCCUUGUCUGGUCCUGUUUGGCUUUUCUUGGCUCCUUUUUCUACUGAAGUUCAUCCUACUUGGAGUUUUGUUUUGUUUGUGAUCUUUUUUCCCCAAUCCACUGCGAAGUUGUUGUUGUUUUUUUCACCCGUUAAAUGACUGAUUGUAUGUUAGCAGCUUUCACAGAUGGAGAGGCGUGGUGGACUAUUUUAAUUGAACGGAUUAAUUAAUUCAA